rnacentral:rRNA from 1 species
GUUCGAUUAAAGCUCAGAUUGAACGCUGGCGGAUGCUUACGCUACCCAAGUCGAACGGCGGCACGGACUUUGGUCUGGUGGCGAGUGGCGAACGGGUGAUAAUGUAUCGGAACGUGCUGACAGCAGCAGAGGAUAACUACGCGAAAGCGUAGCUAAUACCACAUACGCCCUUCGGGAAAACGGGGGACCUUCGGGCCUCGCACUAAUGAAGCAGCCGAUAUCGGAUUGGCUAGUUGGUGGGGUAACGGCUCACCAAGGCGACGAUCCGUAGCUGGUUUGAGAGGACGACCAGCCACGCUGGGACAAAUGAGACACGGCCCAGACUCCUACGGGAAGGCAACAGUGGGAAUUUUGGACAAUGGGGAAACCCUGAUCCGACCAUCCCGCGUGUGCGAUGAGCCUUCGGGUUGUAAAGCACUUUUGGCGGAAAGAAACGGCACGGAUAAUACCCCGUGCAACUGACGGUACCUGCAGAAUAAACGUACCGGCUAACUACGUGCCAGCAGCCGCGGUAAUACGUAUGAGGUGCAAGCGUUAAUCGGAAUUACUGGGCGUAAAGCAUUGCGCAGGCGAGUUCGGAAGAAGAUGUGAAAUCGGAGAAGCCUUUGGAACUGCAUUUUUAACUACCGAGCUGAUGUGUCAGGAGGUGGAAUUCCACGUGUAGCAGUGAGAUGCACGUAGAUAUGCGGAGACACCGAUGGCGAAGGCAGACCUCUGGAAAAAGACAGGAUACUGACGCUCAUGCACGAAAGCGUGGGGGCAAACGGGAUUAGAUACCCUGGUAGUCCACGCCUAAACGAUGUCAACUAGCUGUUUAGGGGCCUUCAGGCUGGUAGCGCAGCUAACGUGGGGUUGGUACUGGGAGCCACGGUCGCAAGAUUAAAACUCAAAGGAAUUGACGGGGACCCGCACAAGCGGUGGAUGAUGUGGAUUAAUUCGAUGCAACGCGAAAAACCUUACCUACCCUUACGACAUGUCUGGAAUCCCGAAGAGAUUUGGGGAGUGCUCGCAAAGGAGCAGGUUUGGAGUGCUGCAUGGCCAUCGUCGUCAGCUCGUGUCGUGGAUGUUGGGUUAGAGUCCCGCAACAGGCGCAACCCUUGUCAUUGGUUGCUACGGGCACUCUAAUGGACUGCCGCGGUGACAAACCGGAGAGGUGGAUGACGUCAACUCCUUGUGCCCUUAUGGGUGGAGACCUGCGUCAUACAAUGGUCCGGGACAGAGGUCGCCAACCCGCGAGGAGCCAAUCACAGAAACCCGAUCGUAGUCCGGAUCGCAGUCUGCAACUCGACUGCGUGAAGUCAGGAAUCCUUAAUGUCGCCGGAUCGGCAUGUCGCGGUGAAUACGUUCAGGUCUUGUACACACCGCCCGUCACACCAUGGGAGUGGGUUUUACCAGAAGUGGUGCUUAACCGUAAGGAGGGCGAUUACCACGGUAAGUUCGCUGACUGGGGUGAGUCGCUAGCUAAGGUAA